rnacentral:rRNA from 1 species
UACGUAGGGUGCAAGCGUUGUCCGGAAUUAUUGGGCGUAAAGAGCUCGUAGGCGGUUUGUUGCGUCGGCUGUGAAAUCCCGAGGCUCAACCUCGGGUCUGCAGUCGAUACGAGCAAACUAGAGUGUUGCAGGGGAGACUGGAAUUCCUGGUAUAGCGGUGAAAUGCGCAGAUAUCAGGAGGAACACCGGUGGCGAAGGCAGUUCUCUGGGCCGUAACUGACGCUGAGGAGCGAAAGCGUGGGGAGCGAACAGG